UGAGUAAGGUAUCGAAAUUUUCAAUGUGUCACCGUCGGGAACACAUACACACGAAAACACCGAGUGUGACACACACAAUAAAAAAAAACCCGCAUGUGUUUCCGCUCGGAGUUAUUCAGCCCGUUACUAGCCUUAGUUUCCAGAUACCGAGAUCGUAUUACGGUGUCAAGUGUUCAAACAGUGACUGAUAUAUAGCCCUGUGUACUUUUCACUUUUCGUGACAUGCUUUUUGUCUACACGAGGGCUGAGCUUUGUACACAUGUGUACAUCAGUUUCAUUUCUCGUACCGGUAUACAUCAAAAUUGUGCAUGUGUCAACCUUGUUCUGUGGCUGUAGCCUUCUAUCGACUUUCAUAGAGUUUACAUCUAGAUCUAUUACUGGCCUAAAUUAUUCAGAAUUUGGAGAAAGAAGCCAUUGAUCUAUCUGUCAACAUUGACUAGAUCUAUUUGGUCACACAUGAAUCUAGAUUUGAAUUGACAUAUGUGAAUUAUGUGUUAAGCUUGUGAAUUCCUUUGGAUAUAUAUCUAUAAAAUGUUAAAUCUUUCAUUGACGUGGGAUAAUAUCUAGAUCUACAUCUAAUAAGAUAAGUGACUUCUAGGAAGAACGUGACACAAUCUGUGACAAAUUUCAUUCUCUGUCUUGGAAUUAAUUUUACAAAGGACUCUACGUACAAGAAAAAGGGGGAAAAAAAUCAGGUGUUCUGGGAUCUUCCUCCCAGGAGCUAAUGUUGAUUUUAAAAGUAAGUUCGAGCCUCUGGGAUAAAUUGUGUUCAAGGUAGGUCCUCCUUUUUAUUGUCCCGACAACUUUUCAGCAUUAGGGGUUUUGUGGG
rnacentral:sRNA from 1 species